GCGCAACCCUUAUCCUUUGUUGCCAGCGCGUGAUGGCGGGAACUCAAAGGAGACUGCCGGUGAUAAACCGGAGGAAGGUGGGGAUGACGUCAAGUCAUCAUGGCCCUUACGAGUAGGGCUACACACGUGCUACAAUGGCGCAUACAAAGAGAAGCGACCUCGCGAGAGCAAGCGGACCUCACAAAGUGCGUCGUAGUCCGGAUCGGAGUCUGCAACUCGACUCCGUGAAGUCGGAUCGAGAGUGUGAUCGUGGAUCAGAAUGCCACGGUGAAUACGUUCCCGGGCCUUGUACACACCGCCCGUCACACCAUGGGAGUGGGUUGCAAAAGAAGU
rnacentral:rRNA from 1 species